CCUACGGGAGGCUGCAGUGAGGAAUAUUGGUCAAUGGACGAGAGUCUGAACCAGCCAAGUAGCGUGAAGGAUGACUGCCCUAUGGGUUGUAAACUUCUUUUAUAUGGGAAUAAAACGUUCCACGUGUGGGAUUUUGUAUGUACCAUAUGAAUAAGGAUCGGCUAACUCCGUGCCAGCAGCCGCGGUAAUACGGAGGAUCCGAGCGUUAUCCGGAUUUAUUGGGUUUAAAGGGAGCGUAGGUGGAUUGUUAAGUCAGUUGUGAAAGUUUGCGGCUCAACCGUAAAAUUGCAGUUGAAACUGGCAGUCUUGAGUACAGUAGAGGUGGGCGGAAUUCGGGGUGUAGCGGUGAAAUGCUUAGAUAUCACGAAGAACUCCGAUUGCGAAGGCAGUUCACUGGACUGCAACUGACACUGAGGCUCGAAAGUGUGGGUAUCAAACAGGAUUAGAUACCCUAGUAGUC
rnacentral:rRNA from 1 species